rnacentral:rRNA from 1 species
GAGUUUGAUCAUGGCUCAGAUUGAACGCUGGCGGCAUGCCUUACACAUGCAAGUCGAACGGCAGCACGGGAGCUUGCUCCUGGUGGCGAGUGGCGAACGGGUGAGUAAUGCAUCGGAACGUAUCCUGGAGUGGGGGAUAACGUAGCGAAAGUUACGCUAAUACCGCAUAUUCUGUGAGCAGGAAAGCGGGGGACCUUCGGGCCUCGCGCUCUCGGAGCGGCCGAUGUCGGAUUAGCUAGUUGGUGAGGUAAAGGCUCACCAAGGCGACGAUCCGUAGCAGGUCUGAGAGGAUGAUCUGCCACACUGGAACUGAGACACGGUCCAGACUCCUACGGGAGGCAGCAGUGGGGAAUUUUGGACAAUGGGGGCAACCCUGAUCCAGCCAUGCCGCGUGAGUGAAGAAGGCCUCGGUU